AUGAACUGGAAUCGAAAAUUGAGUGAGAGAGAGAGAGCUGAGUUCAGCCGAAGAAAGCAAAAUUGUGGGGAGAAAUUAAGAGAGGAGAGGGAACAUGAAGCUUAGAACGGCGACCUCGCCAGACCUCAGCGGCGGCGGACGGAUCCCGGCGGAAGCGAUUUUGAAAGGGAAAUUAGGGCUUCUAUCAUCCACCUGACUUGAGAUGAACGAUUGGAAACGAGAGAAGGGAGGAGGCGUCGGACCUUGGCGCGGCAGAAGCUGAUUCGACGGAUUCCGGAGCCGCGGCGGCAGAAUCUCGGCAGAAGACAGAGCGAGGGAGAAAGAUGGUCUAAAGGCGUGUCUGAUUUUUGAGAGAGAGAGGGCAUCGAGUUUGUUGAAGGAGGGAGAGUAAUUGGGCUUGUGUUAUUUAUUUU
rnacentral:lncRNA from 1 species